rnacentral:rRNA from 1 species
GCGAACCGGGGGAACUGAAACAUCUAAGUACCCCGAGGAAAAGAAAUCAACCGAGAUUCCCCCAGUAGCGGCGAGCGAACGGGGAACAGCCCAGAGCCUGAAUCAGCUUGUGUGUCAGUGGAACGGUCUGGAAAGGCCGGCGAUACAGGGUGACAGCCCCGUACACGAAGGCACACAGGCUGUGAGCUCGAUGAGUAGGGCGGGACACGUGAUAUCCUGUCUGAAGAUGGGGGGACCAUCCUCCAAGGCUAAAUACUCCUGACUGACCGAUAGUGAACCAGUACCGUGAGGGAAAGGCGAAAAGAACCCCGGCGAGGGGAGUGAAACAGAACCUGAAACCGUGUACGUACAAGCAGUGGGAGCCUUCGUAAGAGGGUGACUGCGUACCUUUUGUAUAAUGGGUCAGCGACUUAUAUUCUGUAGCAAGGUUAACCGUAUAGGGGAGCCGAAGGGAAACCGAGUCUUAAUUGGGCGUUAAGUUGCAGGGUAUAGACCCGAAACCCGGUGAUCUAGCCAUGGGCAGGUUGAAGGUUGGGUAACACUAACUGGAGGACCGAACCGACUAAUGUUGAAAAAUUAGCGGAUGACCUGUGGCUGGGGGUGAAAGGCCAAUCAAACCGGGAGAUAGCUGGUUCUCCCCGAAAGCUAUUUAGGUAGCGCCUCGUGAACUCAUCUCCGGGGGUAGAGCACUGUUUCGGCUAGGGGGCCAUCCCGGCUUACCAACCCGAUGCAAACUGCGAAUACCGGAGAAUGUUAUCACGGGAGACACACGGCGGGUGCUAACGUCCGUCGUGAAGAGGGAAACAACCCAGACCGCCAGCUAAGGUCCCAAAGUCAUGGUUAAGUGGGAAACGAUGUGGGAAGGCCCAGACAGCCAGGAUGUUGGCUUAGAAGCAGCCAUCAUUUAAAGAAAGCGUAAUAGCUCACUGGUCGAGUCGGCCUGCGCGGAAGAUGUAACGGGGCUAAACCAUGCACCGAAGCUGCGGCAGCGACGCUUAUGCGUUGUUGGGUAGGGGAGCGUUCUGUAAGCCUGCGAAGGUGUGCUGUGAGGCAUGCUGGAGGUAUCAGAAGUGCGAAUGCUGACAUAAGUAACGAUAAAGCGGGUGAAAAGCCCGCUCGCCGGAAGACCAAGGGUUCCUGUCCAACGUUAAUCGGGGCAGGGUGAGUCGACCCCUAAGGCGAGGCCGAAAGGCGUAGUCGAUGGGAAACAGGUUAAUAUUCCUGUACUUGGUGUUACUGCGAAGGGGGGACGGAGAAGGCUAUGUCGGCCGGGCGACGGUUGUCCCGGUUUAAGCGUGUAGGCUGACUUUCCAGGCAAAUCCGGAAAGUUAAGGCUGAGGCGUGAUGACGAGGCACCACGGUGCUGAAGUGACAAAUGCCCUGCUUCCAGGAAAAGCCUCUAAGCAUCAGGUAACAUCAAAUCGUACCCCAAACCGACACAGGUGGUCAGGUAGAGAAUACCAAGGCGCUUGAGAGAACUCGGGUGAAGGAACUAGGCAAAAUGGUGCCGUAACUUCGGGAGAAGGCACGCUGACAUGUAGGUGAAGCCCCUGCGGGUGGAGCUGAAGUCAGUCGAAGAUACCAGCUGGCUGCAACUGUUUAUUAAAAACACAGCACUGUGCAAACACGAAAGUGGACGUAUACGGUGUGACGCCUGCCCGGUGCCGGAAGGUUAAUUGAUGGGGUUAUCGCAAGAGAAGCUCCUGAUCGAAGCCCCGGUAAACGGCGGCCGUAACUAUAACGGUCCUAAGGUAGCGAAAUUCCUUGUCGGGUAAGUUCCGACCUGCACGAAUGGCGUAAUGAUGGCCAGGCUGUCUCCACCCGAGACUCAGUGAAAUUGAACUCGCUGUGAAGAUGCAGUGUACCCGCGGCAAGACGGAAAGACCCCGUGAACCUUUACUACAGCUUGACACUGAACAUUGAGCCUUGAUGUGUAGGAUAGGUGGGAGGCUUUGAAGCGUGGACGCCAGUCUGCGUGGAGCCAACCUUGAAAUACCACCCUUUAAUGUUUGAUGUUCUAACCUGGCGCCGUAAUCCGGCGUGGGGACAGUGUCUGGUGGGUAGUUUGACUGGGGCGGUCUCCUCCCAAAGUGUAACGGAGGAGCACGAAGGUCAGCUAAUCCUGGUCGGACAUCAGGAGGUUAGUGCAAUGGCAUAAGCUGGCUUGACUGCGAGAGUGACGGCUCGAGCAGGUGCGAAAGCAGGUCAUAGUGAUCCGGUGGUUCUGUAUGGAAGGGCCAUCGCUCAACGGAUAAAAGGUACUCCGGGGAUAACAGGCUGAUACCGCCCAAGAGUUCAUAUCGACGGCGGUGUUUGGCACCUCGAUGUCGGCUCAUCACAUCCUGGGGCUGAAGUAGGUCCCAAGGGUAUGGCUGUUCGCCAUUUAAAGUGGUACGCGAGCUGGGUUUAGAACGUCGUGAGACAGUUCGGUCCCUAUCUGCCGUGGGCGCUGGAGAAUUGAGGGGGGCUGCUCCCAGUACGAGAGGACCGGAGUGGACGCAUCACUGGUGUUCGGGUUGUCAUGCCAAUGGCACUGCCCGGUAGCUAAAUGCGGAAGAGAUAAGUGCUGAAAGCAUCUAAGCACGAAACUUGCCCCGAGAUGAGUUCUCCCUGACUCCUUGAGAGUCCUGAAGGAACGUUGAAGACGACGACGUUGAUAGGCCGGGUGUGUAAGCGCAGCGAUGCGUUGAGCUAACCGGUACUAAUGAACCGUGAGGCUUAACCUUACAACGCCAAAGAAGU